UUAAUAGCCUGGAUAAAUGUCAUGAUUUAGCUCGCCAUUCAUUGGCAGCCACCAAGUCUAGUGAUCCUGGCACUCUACCCAAGAUCCUUUUAGGUUUUUCAACAGAAGAAUACGGCAUGAUCAUUUUACUUUCAUUUUGUUCAUGACAGUAUCUUGUAUUGAAGUCGACAAAUGAUUCAGAAGAGUAUUAAAAGGCAUGUCGUGAGCACUCUUGACUAGAGUCCUGGCGAUGUGGAAGUAGUAUACAGAGAUGAUCCCCAGGGGAAUCAGGAAGUACACCAGGAAUAUGAGGAUGGAGUGGAUCUUGGGAUGCAUGUCGUUGGAAAGGGGAUAGGGCACGCAGGCGGUGAAGGUCACAUUCUUGUCCUGGAUGUGUACUACCUGGGAGAAGAUGGCCUCGGGCACCGCCAGCAGGACGGAGAUCACCCAGAUGGACACAGCUUUCAGACAUGUCCAGAACACGGCGCUGGAUGUCUGGAUGUCCAUAGGAUUCACAAUGGCUUUGUACCUGGAAACACAACAAAACCAUAGAAAAAUAUUAGUGCUCCUUCAUCUUGAUCCUUUGAAAUGACAUUAAAAGCAGUCUUUUUCAUGCAA